AUUGAACGCUGGCGGCAGGCCUAACACAUGCAAGUCGAACGGUAACAGGAAACAGCUUGCUGUUUCGCUGACGAGUGGCGGACGGGUGAGUAAUGUCUGGGAAACUGCCUGAUGGAGGGGGAUAACUACUGGAAACGGUAGCUAAUACCGCAUAACGUCGCAAGACCAAAGAGGGGGACCUUCGGGCCUCUUGCCAUCGGAUGUGCCCAGAUGGGAUUAGCUAGUAGGUGGGGUAACGGCUCACCUAGGCGACGAUCCCUAGCUGGUCUGAGAGGAUGACCAGCCACACUGGAACUGAGACACGGUCCAGACUCCUACGGGAGGCAGCAGUGGGGAAUAUUGCACAAUGGGCGCAAGCCUGAUGCAGCCAUGCCGCGUGUAUGAAGAAGGCCUUCGGGUUGUAAGGUACUUUCAGCGGGGAGGAAGGGAGUAAAGUUAAUACCUUUACUCAUUGACGUUACCCGCAGAAGAAGCACCGGCUAACUCCGUG
rnacentral:rRNA from 1 species